UUUGGAGGAGCAUGAGCUCCCCGGCCACCCAGCGCUGUUUUGCUUGCUGAUCGCUUACUCAAUAAAUUGAUUGACUUAAUUCAAAUUCUCUCUGACUAAGAGUAAUUUAUAACAAAUUUGGUGCCGUGACUCGGAUAAAGGCAAUUUGAUUGGGAAGACUCAUCGAAGGGGGCGCCCCACCGAUUUCGGUGGCCUUCGCCGGGAUUAUUCCCAUUCGAAACCUUUACCGACGAACCCUAAAUUCGGGCAGCAAGCAAAUAAAGCCGGCAAAACCCCUAGGUAAUCUUUGCGCACGAAGGCCGAACGAAGACCCACGGGGUGGAGACGGCUAUCUGGACAGCUGAGAGGGGGUGGACGCAUGCCAGUCGUGUGAAAGGACCGAUCCAGAAAAGCGAAUGGAAAGUGGUCGCAGGCCCUGAUGACUUAAAGCUCACGUUGAAACGAACCCGAUAAAUAUAAUUUGACUGUCUAUGUAUCGUAAAAAGAGGAAGUGGGGACCUUGAUCGGAGAAAGGUUGUGGUUACAGGGAAAAAUCCCCUGAAGAACACUACUGCUGCCGAGAAGAACCUGCACCUUGUAGUUCGCUGCAACCGAACUGACAAGCAAGGCAGAGAGUGAAACGGUGGGGAAUUACGUGGUCAGGUAAA